AUCUAAGGCCGUACAACCCUGAGCCUGCCUAAUCUCAUCUGAUCUCAGAAGUGAAGCAGGGGUGAACUUGGCUAGUACUUGGAUAGAGAGAGCCUCACAAAGCAUGGUUU
rnacentral:rRNA from 1 species